GUAGCGUCUCAAUAGCCUGGGACUUCCUCCUAAUUGGGAUUAGCUACAGCUUCCUCCUUUUAGGAGAACAUUUAACUCUUCCUUUUCUACUUUCCAGUUUUUUAUGAAGUCAUUAAAUGUGAACCGUUGGGCAUUUCGGGAAAGGGAGCCAAGAUCUGAGUAGACGCGGGGUGGUGAGGGGAAGGGGCGGAGCCUAGGUCACCGAGGGCCCCAGGCCGGGAGAGUCAGUCCUGCCCUCCUCCCUUCCUUCUCCAUCCUCCCUGCCAGCCCCUCCUCCUUCCUCCUCCCCAUGCUCAGCUUCCUCAGCCCCGCCUCUUCCUGUUCACCAACCCUUCCGAUUCUUCGGGAAGGAGUCUGGGAUCUUAGGGUGGAAGUGAGGCCAAAACCAUGCUAUGUGAGGCUCGAUUUAGCCAGCGGCCCCUGGCCUGUGAAGAGGAAACUCCGAUCUAGGUCCUGCCGGGUUCCCGGGAUUCAGAUAAGAAGCUGAGGCUGGAAAAGGUUAAGAUCCUGGCAGAGAGAGGAUUUGUACUCCUGUCUGACUGCAAAGACCACGUGCGCCCAUUACCGUUCUCAGCGGAGCCUCUGAUUGACACGGUUCAUACGUAGCCCAUACCUGGAAAGACUGGAAUCUUCCAUAUGUCUAUCACAUAGCACCAAUUAAAAAUGGUUUCAAAUACA